AUUGAACGCUGGCGGCAGGCCUAACACAUGCAAGUCGAGCGGAUGAAGGGAGCUUGCUCCUGGAUUCAGCGGCGGACGGGUGAGUAAUGCCUAGGAAUCUGCCUGGUAGUGGGGGAUAACGUCCGGAAACGGGCGCUAAUACCGCAUACGUCCUGAGGGAGAAAGUGGGGGAUCUUCGGACCUCACGCUAUCAGAUGAGCCUAGGUCGGAUUAGCUAGUUGGUGGGGUAAAGGCCUACCAAGGCGACGAUCCGUAACUGGUCUGAGAGGAUGAUCAGUCACACUGGAACUGAGACACGGUACAGACUCCUACGGGAGGCAGCAGUGGGGAAUAUUGGACAAUGGGCGAAAGCCUGAUCCAGCCAUGCCGCGUGUGUGAAGAAGGUCUUCGGAUUGUAAAGCACUUUAAGUUGGGAGGAAGGGCAGUAAGUUAAUACCUUGCUGUUUUGACGUUACCAACAGAAUAAGCACCGGCUAACUUCG
rnacentral:rRNA from 1 species